rnacentral:rRNA from 1 species
UGGGGAAUUUUGGACAAUGGGGGCAACCCUGAUCCAGCCAUCCCGCGUGUGCGAUGAAGGCCUUCGGGUUGUAAAGCACUUUUGGCAGGGAAGAAACAGCCUGGGAUAAUACCCCGGGCGACUGACGGUACCUGCAGAAUAAGCACCGGCUAACUACGUGCCAGCAGCCGCGGUAAUACGUAGGGUGCAAGCGUUAAUCGGAAUUACUGGGCGUAAAGCGUGCGCAGGCGGUUCGGAAAGAAAGGUGUGAAAUCCCAGGGCUUAACCUUGGAACUGCACUUUUAACUACCGAGCUAGAGUACGUCAGAGGGGGGUAGAAUUCCACGUGUAGCAGUGAAAUGCGUAGAGAUGUGGAGGAAUACCGAUGGCGAAGGCAGCCCCCUGGGAUGAUACUGACGCUCAUGCACGAAAGCGUGGGGAGCAAACAGGAUUAGAUACCCUAGUAGUCCACGCCCUAAAACGAUGUC